AGUACUUCAAAUUUGCUCUGGUCUUAAUCUGAAAACUCGUUUUAUAGAGUUGCAUUGCAUCAUUCUGGAAGUACUUUUACUAAAUUAUAAAAAUAUUUCUGUAUGUUCUAAAGGAUUUUUACCAACAUCUAUAUCUCUUGGCUUCGAUGGGUCAUCGAAAGCAGCCUAAAACAUUGUUAUCUAUGAUAUAAAGCAUAACUGUUCUUAUGGUCUCCGUCUCUAAGUCAGCCUUUAGUUAUAGCUCAGACAAUAAAAUUGCAAAAAAGUAACUGGUGUAUAAUAUAAACGAAUAUAGCUAAACAGAAAAUUGAUGGAAUAUGAGAUUUACCAGGACUAGAAAUGACAGCACGAGGGCGUGGAAUUGGACUGGCUCUGAUGUUUACUUUAUUCUCAUCAUCUAUAUUUCCGUCCUUCUCAGGUCCGUGAUCCUUCUCUAGUCUCCCAGGUCCUGACAAAUCAGAUGCCAAAUCGCCGUCCCCAAAGUCUUCGGUAACAGGUACUCGUGGAAUCAAAUCGACUCUAAUAUAUACUUUACUCUCAUCAGUAUCUCCAUUCUUCUCUGGUUCUGCAGAACCGGAGGAAUCAGAUGUCAAACCGCCUUCCCCAAAGUCUUCAGUAACAGGUACUCGUGGAAUCAAAUCGGCUCUAAUAUAUACUUUACUCUCAUCAGUAUCUCCAUCCUUCCCUGGUUCUGCAGAACCAGAAGAAUCAGAUGUCAAACUGCAGUCGACAAAAUCUUCGGUUACAGAUACUCGUGGAAUUGAUACUUGU
rnacentral:lncRNA from 1 species